rnacentral:rRNA from 1 species
UACAGAGGGUGCGAGCGUUGUUCGGAAUUACUGGGCGUAAAGCGCGCGCAGGCGGCCCUUUAAGUCUACCCGUGAAAUGCCGGAGCUCAACUCCGCGCACGCCGGGGGAUACUGGGGGGCUGGAGACAUGUAGAGGCAAGCGGAAUUCCGGGUGUAGCGGUGGAAUGCGUAGAUAUCGGGAGGAACACCUGUGGCGAAAGCGGCGCACUGGACCACAACUGACGCUGAGGCGCGAAAGCUAGGGGAGCAAACAGG